rnacentral:rRNA from 1 species
UACGGAGGGUGCGAGCGUUGUCCGGAAUCACUGGGCGUAAAGGGCGCGUAGGUGGCGCGGGCAGUCAACGGUGAAAGUUCGGGGCUCAACCCUGAAUCGGCCGUCGAUACUCCCGGGCUUGAGCACUGUAGAGGCUAAUGGAAUUCCGGGUGGUAGCGGUGAAAUGCGCAGAUAUCGGGAGGAACACCGGUGGCGAAGGCGGUUCUCUGGGCCUGUACUGACGCUGAGGAGCGAAAGCGUGGGGAGCGAACAGG